AAAAAAGGAUGAUAAGAAACCUUCUAUUUAUAUCAAAGCCUUUCGGGUCUGAAGUGUAAAUAAUGAUGAUUAGGAUUCACUGAUUUU
rnacentral:snoRNA from 1 species